GAUUGCCUCAGUAACGGCGAGUGAAGCGGCAACAGCUCAAAUUUGAAAUCUGGCUCUAGGGCCCGAGUUGUAAUUUGUAGAGGAUGCUUUUGGCAAGGUUCCUUCUGAGUUCCCUGGAACGGGACGCCGGAGAGGGUGAGAGCCCCGUACGGUCGGAUACCAAGCCUUUGUAAAGCUCCUUCGACGAGUCGAGUAGUUUGGGAAUGCUGCUCAAAAUGGGAGGUAAAUUUCUUCUAAAGCUAAAUACCGGCCAGAGACCGAUAGCGCACAAGUAGAGUGAUCGAAAGAUGAAAAGCACUUUGAAAAGAGGGUUAAAUAGCACGUGAAAUUGUUGAAAGGGAAGCGCUUGUGACCAGACUUGCGCCUGGUAAAUCAUCUAGCGUUCUCGCUAGUGCACUUUGCCGGCUCAGGCCAGCAUCAGUUUGCCGUCGGGGACAAAAGCUCUGGGAACGUAGCUCUCUUCGGGGAGUGUUAUAGCCCGCUGCAUAAUACCCUUCGGCGGACUGAGGUUCGCGCUCCGCAAGGAUGCUGGCAUAAUGGUCAUCAGCGACCCGUCUUGAAACACGGACCAAGGAGUCAACCUUAUGUGCAAGUGUUUGGGUGUUAAACCCCUACGCGUAAUGAAGGUGAACGCAGGUGAGAGCUUCGGCGCAUCAUCGACCGAUCCUGAUGUCUUCGGAUGGAUUUGAGUAAGAGCAUAUAGGGUUGGACCCGAAAGAAGGUGAACUAUGCGUGUAUAGGGUGAAGCCAGAGGAAACUCUGGUGGAGGCUCGCAGCGGUUCUGACGUGCAAAUCGAUCGUCAAAUAUGCGCAUGGGGGCGAAAGACUAAUCGAACCUUCUAGUAGCUGGUUUCCGCCGAAGUUCCCUCAGGAUAGCAGUGUUGAGCUCAGUUUAUGAGGUAAAGCGAAUGAUUAGGGACUCGGGGGCGCAUAUUGCCUCAUCCUUCUCAACUUUAAUAUGUAGAAGCCUUGUGGUUAUUGAC
rnacentral:rRNA from 1 species